AUUGAACGCUGGCGGCAUGCCUUACACAUGCAAGUCGAGCGGCAGCGCGGGGGCAACCCUGGCGGCGAGCGGCGGACGGGUGAGUAAUACAUCGGAACGUGUCCUUUCGUGGGGGAUAACCAGUCGAAAGACUGGCUAAUACCGCAUGAGAUCUCACGAUGAAAGCGGGGGACCGCAAGGCCUCGCGCGAUUGGAGCGGCCGAUGUCGGAUUAGCUAGUUGGCGGGGUAAAGGCCCACCAAGGCAACGAUCCGUAGCUGGUUUGAGAGAACGACCAGCCACACUGGGACUGAGACACGGCCCAGACUCCUACGGGAGGCAGCAGUGGGGAAUUUUGGACAAUGGGCGCAAGCCUGAUCCAGCCAUGCCGCGUGUGUGAAGAAGGCCUUCGGGUUGUAAAGCACUUUCGGCCGGAACGAAAUCGCGCGGGCGAACAUCCCGCGUGGAUGACGGUACCGGAAGAAGAAGCACCGGCUAACUACGUGCCAGCAGCCGCAGUAAGAC
rnacentral:rRNA from 1 species